rnacentral:rRNA from 1 species
UACGGAGGGUGCAAACGUUGCUCGGAAUCAUUGGGCGUAAAGCGCACGUAGGCGGUCUGUUAAGUCGGGUGUGAAAGCCCUGGGCUCAACCCAGGAAGUGCACACGAAACUGACAGGCUUGAGUAUGGAAGAGGGUCGCGGAAUUCCCGGUGUAGAGGUGAAAUUCGUAGAUAUCGGGAGGAACACCAGUGGCGAAGGCGGCGACCUGGGCCAAUACUGACGCUGAGGUGCGAAAUCGUGGGGAGCAAACAGG